GAAAGGAUGUUGGCCAUAUGCUUCUGUAAAUACGAUAACUGAUGAGCUUCUUCAUCGGCUUGAGAGGGCAUAAAACGGCGACUGUUACUGCGAACAAGCUGAAGCGGCGUCAGGGCGGAGAGGUAUCCAUCGAACGCGGACGUCGAUGGCCAGACAUCAGCUACCGACGAGGAGUCCUUAUGCGACCUCGGAAGCAGCCGCUUGUACGACUGGAUGUAGAGAAAUAGAAUUAGGUCAAGGGCAUCCGCGCCGGGAGCUUCGGAUGGGGCGUCGGAGGGCAGGACGGAUGCGAGGGUGUCGAGAACGAGGCGGGCGUGGUCUGGCGAGAUCUGGAGGGCAUCGACGAGGGCGGGGGCG
rnacentral:misc_RNA from 1 species